rnacentral:ncRNA from 1 species
AUGGUUGUCGUCAGCUCGUGUCGUGAGAUGUUGGGUUAAGUCCCGCAACGAGCGCAACCCUUGCCUUUAGUUGCCAGCACUUCGGGUAGGCACUCUAAAGGGACUGCCUGGGUUAACCAGGAGGAAGGUGGGGAUGACGUCAAAUCAUCAUGCCCCUUAUGCUCUGGGCUACACACGUGCUACAAUGGCCGGUACAAUGAGUUGCAAACCCGUGAGGGGGAGCUAAUCUCAAAAACCGGUCCCAGUUCGGAUUGUAGGCUGCAACUCGCCUACAUGAAGCCGGAGUUGCUAGUAAUCGCGGAUCAGCAUGCCGCGGUGAAUACGUUCCCGGGCCUUGUACACACCGCCCGUCACACCAUGAGAGCCGGCAACACCCGAAGCCAGUGGGCUAACCCGCAAGGGAGGCAGCUGUCGAAGGUGGGGCUGGUGAUUGGGGUGAAGUCGUAACAAGGUAGCCGUAGGAGAACCUGCGGCUGGAUCACCUCCUUU